UUUAACUGCUGAUUUGGGCGGUGGGAAUGGUCUUCAAGCAAUAGGCAGUGUAGAAUCAGCCACUGUUUGCCAGCAGUACUGUGAAUCCAACACCUUGUGCAUUGGUUGGGUUUGGACAUGGCCAACCAACAUUGGAUAUGAAAAUGCAUGUAUGUUAAGAACAAACUCAAAUAUGUUCUUUUCUUACAGUUUGAGUGCGAAAACGACAGCUGGAUUCAAAUCCAGCAUCAUUGUCUGGAACUAGAUUAUCAUCUGCUAAAUUCAGCAUCAUUGUCUGGAACUAGAUUAUUAGCUGCUGAAUCCAGCAUCAUUUCCUGGAACUAGAUUAUCUGCUGCUGAAUCCAGCAUCAUUGUCUUGAACUAGAUUAUCAGCUGCUGAAUCCAGCAUCAUUGUCUAAAACUAGAUUAUCAGCUACUGCAGAAACCAGCAUCACUGUCUGGGACUAGAUUAUAAGCUGCAUCAUUGUCUGGGACUAGAUUAUCAGCUGCUGCUGAACACAGCAUCAUUGUCUAGAACUAGAUUAUCAGCUAAAGAUAUUUUAUAUUAUUAUAUAAAACAAAACUACUGGUUUUACAACUAAUUUUGAAUUAUAAAGUGUUGCUUUUUCUUUCAGUUGAUUAAAGUUAGCAGUUUUAACAUUUCAAACAGUUAAAAAUACAUAUUAAAAUAUAAACAAUAUGGAAGUUGAUUAAAGUUAGCCGAUUUAACAUUUCAAACAGUUAAAAAUAUAUAUCAGAAUAUAAAUAAUAUGGAAGUUGAUUAAAACCACAAUAAGCUUUCUUACUUAUCCCAAGGGUAAAACUAUUUGGCACUUUUUUUUUAUAAAAAUCAAGUUUCACCAGUUUUAAAGUUUUCUUUGAUACAUUAAAUAAAAAGAUUUGAUAUUUUCUUUUUUAAUAAUUGUCAAAGGUAUUCACAAACAUUCACCAACAUUAAUUUCCUUGAAAAUUGAGCACAUUAUCAAGGAAAAUCCAAAUUUUUCAAAGAUAUUUGUCAGAUUAUUAAAAAACUAGUUUUUUAGCCUUUAGCAAAACAAUUUUAAAAUAGCAAAAAACAGACAAAUGAAGGGUAUUCAGCAGUUCAAGUCGUAUCUAGAUUUUUUGAAAAAUCUACCUCCCCUUGCAAUCUCAAUUAUUAAAGAAUGAAUUCUUAUUUUUUUCAAUUUUAUUUUCUUUUAUAAAUGUUACUUAUAAUUUACUAGUGUAUAAUUAUAUAUUAAAAAGUUUCACGCUUAUAAUUUAACUUUGACAAUGACUAAUCUUUUUACAUUUUUAAAAUUUAGAUUUAUCAUAUACAUUGUCCUUGUACCAAACUUUGUUGUCUUAAACAAAACCAAAUCUAAAAAUUUGAAAAU